GCAUUUAUAUUGCAAAAUUAGGCAUUUCUUAAUGGGCGUAGACACCGCUUAUGCGAUUAUAACAGCACCACAUAUUGAAGAUCUUCCCCAUUCCUUUGGGUUCACCGGUGGGUAACACUAUUUUUGAUACGGACAAUAUGAUUUAGCCAACGUAGUCGCUUUAGCUUGAUAUCCCUCCUCUAUUUCCACCGGACCCUAAAUCUCUCACAAAAUUUUUCGUUCGAAAACUCCAAUCGUCCACUCAUAAGAUGUUAUCAUCGUGCAGGCCUCUUUAGUACAUAGCACAAUUCGAUCGAUGAGGAACUUGUGGACUGGCAUAUUUGUUCAUGUAAAAUCUCUUUACUUUUCAAUUGCCUACGCAGUCUAGAUAGACGAAAUCGUCUACAACUUCAAAGUUGCGACAGACAACAGUGUCGUGGGAACCAAGACGAGAGUGCGCUGACUGUCGAAAAAAUAUUUCGCCUGGUGUUCGUUCACUACCAUACCAACUUUUUUCGUUUAUUUGACUAAUCUGGAGUGAACAGAUUCAUUCUUACAAAAUAUUGUACCUUAUCCUGUCUCCAUUAUUAAGGUAAGGUUUUAGUAUCCAACGGCUUGGAAAGAUCCUUCCCUAUGCAGAUGGAUAUUUUGGAGUUACACAGUGCCAGUGAAUACAGCCAAGUUGCUUCGAAAUCAACGCAAAAAUGGAUACGGUCUGUUCUAAGAACUACAGCAUGGCGAAUAAAUGGUGUAUGGUGAAUCAGGUGUCACACUUAUCACAUUCAACCAAGUCACUGACGUUUCCGCAGAUUAUGAGAUCCUUCUUUCGUCACAUUCGGCGCAUGUGUUGCAAUCAAAGAUCAAAGAUUAGCCAAACAUGCUGGUACAUGGUACAGCUCAGCUGGUGGACCAUUAGAUCUCAUAUUAUAGUUAGGGAAAUACUGUUUCUACGCCGCCAUCUUCAACUCGAGAUAACAAUGUAGCUUAAUUAACUUUCUAAUGCUAGUUUCCAUGUUUCGGGUCCCAGCUUCAGACCAUAUGUAGAAGUCGAAAUCAAAAACGAUUUUGACAUCGUAUGCCGCUAGGGCAUCGGUUAAAUUCUGCAAUAACGUUAAAUAAUCUCACCAAACUUUCCAGCUGUUUGUUCGCAAAGGGAACUCCUUAGUGGCUUGACUCGGUGAAUAAAGAUAAAUAUACAACAGUAUUACCGGUUUUCUUAGCAGAAUAACGUAAAUCUACUCAUUGUAAUUAAAUUUAAGAAUAAUACGCUUGCAGUUAUAACUUCGCCUGUAGUUUAUUUUACCACCAGAUAUAUUUCAUUGUCCAACACAGUGACAGCCUACAUAGCCAACCCUCAGUGACGUCACUGCCAUGUUGACAUAAACACCAACGCAUACACUAUUUUUUA